UGUCGUUGUUUGCUGAUAGACCGCUUAUUUUUUUUGUUUUUUUAAAGAUGAUAGUAACUGUGGUCACAAUGAACGAUGUGGAUCAUCUUCUACAGCACACAUUUUAAAGUCUGUCUUUUUCUAGAAAAACUAAAAGAUUAGCUAAACAUCUCGGUGCCCACCAGCCGCGGGAUAUUGUUAUAAACCCAACCUCUGAUAAAAAAUCAGAUUGAACGUGAAGUGGUUCUCCAGGUCAAAAUGGUUAACUGCUAGCUAGCUUGUCAGAGAAGACGCUUCUUAUUUUGCUUCCCGUGUGUGUUAUGGUUAAGAAUAGGCUUUUAGGACCUCAAGCAUCUUUCUGAGAUCAUUAAAAAACCCCAAAAGCAGCAGGAUAACGCCGUAAAGUUGGAUUUGCUCGGCAGAACAUUCUUGGCUAACGUUAACGCUAGCUACCUAAACUGACAGCGUUUAAACUGGGGAUUGAGCAAUUCAACAGCACGCUGAGGAGAACACAGGUCAUGCCAGGGAGGUGUCAUUUAAAGUUUGAUGAGUAAUCCUAAUGUAUGCUCACGUUCUGGAAAGCCUCAUGUAAUCUCUAUGAGCACUUAUGACUGAUCAGAAGCUGGAGGUAGGCUAUGUGACGUUUACUCCUUCACAUUACUGACACACGUCAAUCCUAGCAUGUAUUCAUGGUGGCAUGGAUGAGAACAUGCACUCACACAAACACACAUGCACAAGAUAGUGUCAAACUGAUUUAAUGCACAGGCCGAAGCUUUGCAAAUGCAAGUUAUUGCUUAUGCACUCUUCCGUAAAGAAUGUGCCCGAUGAAUAAAACAUUUGCGAAUAAACACAAAUAGUGAUUUAAAUAUAACUCUAUGAAUACGCUA